rnacentral:rRNA from 1 species
UACGUAGGGGGCAAGCGUUGUCCGGAUUUAUUGGGCGUAAAGAGCGUGUAGGCGGCCAUGCAGGUCAGCUGUGAAAACUCGAGGCUCAACCUCGAGACGUCGGUUGAAACCGCUUGGCUAGAGUCCGGAAGAGGAGAGUGGAAUUCCCGGUGUAGCGGUGAAAUGCGCAGAUAUCAGGAGGAACACCAAUGGCGAAGGCAGCUCGCUGGGACGUGACUGACGCUGAGACGCGAAAGCGUGGGGAGCGAACAGG